rnacentral:tRNA from 1 species
GCCCUUAUAGAUCAAUGGUAGAGCUCUGGCCUGUCAAGCCAAAGGCCAGUGGUUCGAUCCCCGUCCGGAACACCA